UGGUGAUUCCUCUGAUGGAUCUGGGUAAAGUCAAUUCACAACCUUUCUGGAAAGGAUUCACCAUACUAGAUACCAUUAAGAACAUUCGUGAGUCAUGGGAAGAGGCCAAAAUACCAACAUUCACAGGAAUUUAGAAGCAGUGAAUUCCAACUCUCAUGGAUAUAAAGAGUUUCAAAAUAUCAGAGGAGGAAGUAACAGCAAAUGUGGUAGAAACUGCAGGAGAACUAGACUUAGAGGCGGAGCCUGAGAACCGCAGUGCUGCCAAGUCAUGAUACUUGAAUGGCUGAGGAGUUGUUUCUCAUGGCUGAGCAAGGAAAGUGGCUUUUUGAGAUGGAAUCUAUUCCUGGUGAGGAUGAUACGAAGAUUGUUGAAAGGACAACAAAGAAUUUAGAAUAUUCCAUAGGUUCACUGAUAAAACUGUGGCAGGUUUUGAGAGGACUGAUUCCAAUUUUGAAAGAAGUUCUACUGUGGGUAAAAUGCUAUCGAACAGCAUUCCAUGCUAGAGAGAAAUCGUUCAUGAAAGGAAAACUCAAUCCACGUGGCAAACUUCAUUGUCUUUGUUCAAGAAAUUACCACAGCCACCCCAACCUUCAGCAGCCUUCAUCCUGACCAGUUAGCAGCUGUCAACACUGAGGCAAGACCCUCCACUAGCAGUAAGAUCAUGACGCACUGAAAGCUCAGAUGUUGCUUAGCAGUUUUCAGCAAUAAAAUAUUUUUAAAAAUUAAGGUAUAUACAUUGUUUUUUCAGACAUAAUGCUAUUACACACUUACUAGACUACAGUAUAGUGAAAACUCAACUUUUAUAUGUGCUGAGAAACCCUGAAAUUCAUUUGACUUGCUUUACUGGGCUAUUUGCCUUAUUGCAGUGGUCUGGAACCUAACCUGCAGUAUGUCCCAGGUAUGCCUGUACAAUCUUUGAAAGACCUUCUAAGACUGACUAUGGUUCAGAAUGAGUAACUGGAAGCAGCAGAGGAGUUUAGGCAGAUGCUCUGGGGAGAAGAAGGGUCUCUCUUCAUACUCUGGAAAGCCUCGGGACAACUUGUUCACCUCUGGCUUUAGGGAGAACACCUUCCCCUGCCUCCCUAUGCCCAGUGAUCCUCUGCCCAGCCAGGUUGGGACGGUGACACUUUGGGCUGGAGUUGGGGCUGGCGGGGUCUUACAUUGGCUUGCUCCAAAUGAAAACGUAGAGUGGCAAUAUGGGAUCCAGUGGCCCAUUCGUUGACUCAAUCAACAAUUCAUGGCUUGACUAAUUAAUUAACUAAAUUAUGAAUUCAAAGUUGACUGUGAGCAAAGCUGUGCAGUUAUUUCUUCACUCACCUCUGAAGUUUAUUCCUGUAUUGCACACAGGAAUCAAAUGCUUUUCCUACAGCUGAAAACCUUCCAGGGAAAUAGAAAGGAUCCACUAUACUAAUUCGUACCAAGUUAAUCAUACUAAUCUUCGUGAUCUAAUGGAUUUUUUCCUCCACAGUGUAUUUGCUUCUUCAAAGCGAGAUCUGGAAAACUCAAUAACCUCUCUCUAGUGCUGGACGCUCACCUUGUGUUGUCAUCAAGGUCUUUCUUCAGAGGAGAUGAGUGUCAUUGUUGAUACUCAGAGCACAUGGUCUUGGUGGUGAGAUCUGGUGCACGCGGAACACACUCCAGACACAGUCCUCUGGGUGUGGCUGCAAUGAAGGCUUACCAGUUCUGGGGUGCCAACGUAACCCUAACUGAGAUGGAGUCCAUGGCGGCACCAGAAGAUGGCCAAGAGCAGGGGAUGAACCGACGUUACCUCUUCUGCUUGUCAUUGUCCAUGCUUCCUGCUUCCUUAUGUGGAGAACUGAAUACAAGCUAAAACCACCAUCAGCUUUUCCUGUUGCUCUAAGCCCUUGCAGUCGGCUCCAGUCAAGGCAAAUCCCUGAAUACAGGAGAAAGUUGCUUUCUGUGCUCUGAGAAACAGCCGAGGCCUGUAAGCCUCAUCCCCAAGAAUGCCUCCUGUCCCUGGAGCCCCUGGAAGCUGUGAGGAAGAGUCGGUAUGUUCUGACAUUGAUUCUGGACACGUGUGCUGGAGAGGAGGUGAUGGGGGAAGGGUAUCCGGCUGGCCAUUUUGUCCACUAGGCACCUUGGGGCAGCACAGGUUCAUGUCAUCCUGGGUGAACUUCUUACCUCCGUACUGUAGGGGCCUUCGAGGCAGGCAUGUGAUGCCUUUGAGUUGGAGAGGAUUUCUGCCCGGGGACCUCUUUCACCACUCACAAUCUUUGCUACAGGUUUUCAAAUACAGUCACCUUUCUACCUUGAGGAUCCAGCAUCUCAACUUUUCUUUGUUCAUCUUCCCUCUCAAAGGCGUAUUAGCUAAGAGGGGCUUUAGGACCCCCUUUGCAUAUCAUCUUUUUUCUUCCCUUGAACUUCUGGAGUGCUGAAACUCCUGCAGCUUGGUUGUGCUGUGCCCUGCUGUUUUCUGAACCUCAGUUUAUCUGUAAAAUACGUAGAGGCAGCCUUUCUUUUAGCCAGGUAUCUUAUGUGAAACCUCAGUGGGUAGAAUAUAUGCCAGCACACAGCUCUGCUGCAAUCGGGGAGGAGUCCACUGGCGCCCCCUCUUCCGCCUCUCCUUCAGUCCCUCAGGGAGUCCCCAGGGCCCGCUGGACAGGAAGGACCAGGGUUCCACAGGCCACUGUUUGAAUCCACAGGCCACUGUUUGAAUCCGCAGGACUGAAUGAUUACUACGCCUUCCCAGCGCUAGGGUGUGGAGGGUGCAAGUAUUUCAUGGGUAAAUGGCCGUCUCUGGCCUCGAGCACUGGCUUGGAUAUCUAUGAGGGAGAAAGGAGGGUGUGGCCGUAGGCUGUUGCCCUCCUACUCACGUGCCCUCUUCAGAUGGGAAGAUCUGAUAACGUGGGGUCUCCCACGUCAAUCUCUUGGAACUGUAUGCGUGGGGGGAUCUUCUCCCAGAUGGCGUAUUCCGAGCUGAUUGCAGUGUCCCAGCCAACACUUCUACUGUUUCCCCGAGGAGGAACUUGUGCCCCGUAACUGUGCCUUGUAUCUGUGGAGCACAAUGGCUGUUGUUGGGGGUGUGGCUGUUCUGCUUUGAGGGGUGUCAGGAGCUGAAAGAGAGGCCCUCACAAAACACCCAGCAAAUGGGCAGGACUUACUUUCUGGAAGUUUCCCUGUUGUAAAUCAAGCGCUCUUUUAGGAAGAUCAGAAAGUUCCAUAUUCACUGUAAGGUUCCUGGCUGGGGCUCGGCCCCUUCUUGCACCCCCUCUUUGGUCGGGUGACACACUGGCUGCCUUCUUCUGGAGCCCCUGGUUUCCUAACCUAUAAUGGAUGAAAGAUCACAUCUGCCCCACACAGGUAAUCUUUCCCAUCGUAAUGUUUGUUAAGCUUUUUUGAUUUACUGAAGAGUUAAAGUCAUGUCAGGUCACAAAACUGCACAUUAGAUGUGCUUCAUGAAACACUGAAUGAACAGUUUAACUCAUUUAUUUCGCCAUCUUUAAAGCAGCGCAGCAGAGGAAUGGCACCUCCCUUUAUAAAUCUUCCCAUUUACUUCCAACUCAGCUUUAUGGGUGGAUGCAGACCUAGUCUGUUCUGGGUUUUAUGGACGGCAACCUGACAGGUACUGCUCAUACUGGUGUGCAAACCCAGCUCACAUAUGUUAAAUUAGCCAGAGAAAAAUUUCAUCUCGGAAGCCUGAGGCGUGGGCUUUGCUGGCAGGACUUCCCUUUGGUGUCUGGGAAUCACCAGGCCCUUACUUUCAUCUCCCUUCUUAACGGUCACCCUUGUCUUCUCUUCCCAUUUGGCUCUUUCACUCCAAAAGUCCAGCUGAUCUGAAGGGAAAUUUAACAGCAGAGGAUUUACAGAGCAUGAUUGCUGUUGGUUCUAAAAGAGGAUUUAGAGGCUAUGAUUUGGGACUUAAUUUAAAUAAAGCCAAGAAGAGUCCAACUUGUGGCUUUUCUCCAUUCAAUUCAGUCCCUUGCUCCUCCUAAGAAAGGGAAUUUCCAAAGAGGGGCACGAUUGCUUCACGCAUCUUGGGUAACCCUAUAAGAGCAGCGGUUAACACAUCAACCCUGAGGUAAGGUCCGAGGGUCGUGCUAAGGGACUUCGUGGAACUGAGUGUGGCAAGGGGGCCCUUCCCUGGCAGCCUGAUUGCUUCCUAAUGUGAUCUAAUGUCAGUACACCAGGCUUUUCAUAUUCCUAUUUUCUAGAUAUUUCAAGUUUUAUUUGUGGUCUAAUAGAUAAUCAAUUUAAAAAAGUUCUAAGGAUAUUUGAAAGUAAUUUCAAAUUUGUGAUUCAAAAUAUGCAAUAUGCUUUCUAUUAUGAAGUUCAAAAUAUAUUUAUUAAACCAGGUCUGUAAUGGUUUCCUCAUGUCUGUUCAUCCUUACGUAUUUUUUAUCUGUUUCACCUGCUGAUUUUUUUAAAAGACAAGUGAAAAUCUCUACUAUUACCGAGGUUUUCUUAGUGUUUCCUUUACUUGAUCAAUCACUCUGGUUUUUUGGAAGUGUGAAUGUUUAUGAUGCUUUUAUGUUUUUUAUAAAUUGUACCUUUUAUCACUGUAAAAUAUUCAUCUUUAUUUUCUGUAAGUUACUGUUGUUGAUAAAUAUUACUAAUCAUUUUUUACUUAAAACGCUUUACUUGAAAAUUGAAAAUAGACGAACAUUAAGACAACUGCAAAUAGUAAUGUAAUAAAACCUAGAUACUCAUCACCCCAAGUGAAAAAGGGUUAAUAUUUUUCAUGCAUAUGAUCAGAUUAAGAAAAACAGACUUUCUUUUUGAGAGCGGUUUUAGGCAAAAUUGAGUAGAAAGUAGAGUUCCUGUCUUACCCGCUCUCCCACCAGCCUCCCUAAGUACCAACAGCCUGCACCAGAGUGGUCCAUUUGCUACAAUUAAUGAACCAACACUGGCACACCCCAAGUCCAUAAUCUACAUUAAGGUUCAUCUUGGUAUUGAAUAUUCUGUGGGUUUGGGCCAAUGUGUAGUGACAUGUAUCUAUGAUUAUAGUUAUCACACAAAAUUUCACUGCUUGGCAAAUGCUCUGUGCUCUGCUUAUGCAUGCCUUCCACCGCCCUAAUCCCUGCUAACAAUUGAUCUCUUUACAUCUCCAUUGUUUUGCCUUUCACAGAAUGUCAUAUAGUUGGAAUCAGAUGUAUACAGUUUUUUUAAGAUUUGCUUCCUUCACUUAGUAAUAAGUUUUAAGGGAUGAUAAUAUUUUCUCCUAGUCAGUAAUAAUUUUUAUUGGAUGAUAGCACUGAGUAAUACUCCAUUGUCUGGGUGUGCUACAGUUCAUCCAUUCUCUACUGAAGGCCAUCUUACUUCCAACUUUUGACAAUUAUGAAUAAUGUUGCUAUAAACAUCCAUGUGUGGGUUUUUCUGUAGACAUAAGUUUUCAGCUUAUUUGGGUAGGUGCCAAGGAGUGUGAGUGCUGGAUCAUAUGGUAAAGUAUGUAUAAUUUGCAGUUUCCCUAAGAUUAUAAGAUGUUGAACAUCUUUGGCUAUGCUUAUUUGCCAUCUGUGUUGUGUAUCUUCUUUGGUAAGGUGACAGUUUAGGUCUUUUGUCCAUUUUUUUAAUCUGGUUGUUUUCUUAUUGUUGAGUUGUAAGGGUUCUUUCUAUAUUAUGGGUAUAAACAGUUCUUUAUCAGAUAUGUCUUAUGCAAAUAUUUUCUUCUAGUCAGUGAGAGAUUUGUUUUAAAGAAAUAAAACAUCAUAGAUAAAGUUUAAAUCUUCUACAUUUCCCUCUCUAGUCCAAUUCAGCUCCCUUCUAUGCCUUCUCAAAGGGAACAAUUACCCUGAAUUUGGUGUGCAUUCUGGCUAGACUUCUGUAUUUAUUACGUGUAUUCAUUAAUUACACAUAGUAAUGUUUUGUGCAUUUAAAAGUUAAAGAUCUUAUACUGUAUAUUACAUUUCAAGAUCUCUCCCCCCGACUCAGUCUAUGUUUUUUUGAAUAUGCUCUACCCAUGUUAAUACAUUAGAUAUACUUAUUCAUUUUAACUAAUGUACAAUAUUCUAUUGCAUGAAUAUAUCACACAUUUUAUA